GCCAGGCACUGUGCCUACAGUCUGUGACUGCUACUUGGGAGUCUGGGAAGGGAGGAUUGUUUGAGCCCUGGAGCUCUGGGCUGUAGUGUACUAUCCUAAUUGGGUUAACCACAGUAAAUCUGGCACCCAUAUAGUGACCUCUUGGAGUAGGGGAUCACCACGUUGCCUAGGGAUGUGAAUCAGCCCAGGUCAGAAGAGGAACAGGUCCAAACACCCACACUGAGUAAUAGUGGGAUCAAGCCUGUGAAUAGCCACUGCAUUUAAUCUCGGCAACACAGUGAGUCUCUU
rnacentral:SRP_RNA from 1 species